rnacentral:lncRNA from 1 species
CUCAUCUCCCUGGGUAACCCUAGGUCUCAUCUCAUCUCCCUGGGUAACCCUAGGUCUCACCUCAUCUCCCUGGGUAACCCUAGGUCUCAUCUCAUCUCCCUGGGUAACCCUAGGUCUCAUCUCAUCUCCCUGGGUAACCCUAGGUCUCAUCUCACCUCCCUGGGUAACCCUAGGUCUCAUCUCAUCUCCCUGGGUAACCCUAGGUCUCAUCUCAUCUCCCUGGGUAACCCUAGGUCUCAUCUCAUCUCCCUGGGUAACCCUAGGUCUCAUCUCCCUGGGUAACCCUAGGUCUCAUCUCAUCUCAUCCCCCUGGGUAACCCUAGGUCUCAUCUCAUCUCCCUGGGUAACCCUAGGUCUCAUCUCAUCUCCCUGGGUAACCCUAGGUCUCAUCUCCCUGGGUAACCCUAGGUCUCAUCUCCCUGGGUAACCCUAGUAACCCUAGUAAGCCUAGUAACCCUAGGUCUAAUUCCCAUUAUAGUGCACUACUUUUGACUAGGGCCCGUAGUGCUUGGUCAAAAGUAGUGCACUAUCAAGGGUAUGCAGUAGGGUGCCAUUGGGGAUACAGCCCUGGAGUAUUUAUUAUAGUGUUGAAAGCUUUAUCUACUCUGACUCUCCAGAGAAGAAUGUCACAGAAAUGACGUCAGAUUGAUGUUAGACUGACCCAUGCGGUCGGACUCUCUCAAGGAGUGCUGUUGCUAUGCUCCAAGUGAAACGCCAUCAACAGAAUACCUUCCCAAGGUUAUUGCUAUAGCGUAGUGUUUGUUUAAGACACAGUUAACCUUUAUGGAAACCCGAGACUGAGCCAUGUAAAACUAAACACCCAACACUGAUAAAAAAUGCCAAUGGCUAUGUUAUCAAAAAUGACAUCAUAGGAUUCCAACAGAGAAUCUUCAUAGGAUUCCAACAGAGAAUCUUCAUAGGAUUCCAACAGAGAAUCUUCAUAGGAUUCCAACAGAGAAUCUUCAUAGGAUUCCAACAGAGAAUCUUCAUAGGAUUCCAACAGAGAAUCUUCAUGAUUCGAGAACUGCUGUGCAAAAAGCUUUAGCACACAGCGAGAGUUAAUCUAUGGUUAGCCAGUAAUGCCUACCUUAGCAGUCUUGAGACCUGUGGGUCAAACUCUGGGUUUGGUUAAUAAGUAAGACCGUGUAGGCAUCACACUUUUAAAAUGGACUCUGGGGGUUUCUUUUAAACAGAAGAUGGCUUCUUUUCCGAUACUGUUAUCUACACAAGACAAUACUCAUCCACUGCUGACUUGGCCUAUAGAUAUUUUACAAAUGGUGCAUCUCAGUCACUAUGAGAACAUUGCUGAAAUGGGGGGGGGGAACUGAAUACUUUUACAGAAUUAUUAGUGAAUUAUAACUUUGUCAAGGAACUGUGGGUUAUAUAUGAAUAAAUUAUUAUAUGUUAAAUAAUUGUUAUAUAUUUAAUCAUUAUUAUAUAUUAAAGUUAAACAAAAGCAUAUUCUUAAAGAUUGUAUCAUAUUAAAGCAAAUACCCUCCGACUCUGGUUUUGGUUCAUAUUGAUGAACUUUUUGAGAUAGCAGGCAACAAAUGUAACUCACAGCUGUUACAUUAGGGCACAAAUAACACUGUAACAAAUAAUCAGGGCAACUUCAGUGAUUGUCAUCAUAAAAAAAUACUUUUGUGUAAGGCUAUAUCAUCACUUUUAGACAACAAUGGAUAAUUAAUAGAAAAACAAGAGAUUAUUCUGGUAUAUUGGACAGUGAAAUAACAUGAUCAUCCAUUUGACCUGCCUUGUGUUACAGCAUAGUUUGGUCUAGGCUCUGUUACAUUUAUUUAGAUAGAAAGUUUACGUGUAAUACAUUACAUUUUACAUAGUCGGACAAAUAAAAACGUAUUUAAAAUAAAACAAAAAAAACCUCACCGCUUUAGGCAUCUUUGUUUUGGAUGGUUUAUCAGGUUUAACGACGGAACGUGGGCUCCAAAGUACCGGAAAGAGCUCGUAGUAGUUAAACUUCUCUAGGGAACUCUCAAGUCCGUGAUAAUGAACGUUAGUCCUGCUCUGCUCGGGUUGGGCGCCUGUCCUGUGAACUCGGCUGUGAAGAUUACUUAUACUGGACGUGGUAGGCUACUCAUGUCUGACUCAUAAUCAGACAUAAAAAUGCCAGAGCAGAGGAGAAGCCUAACCUUGUUCGAUGACGCCGACGACCUACCUGUGAGACGGAGUGUCGUUAAAAGCUCCACCCUACAGAACAGAACGGGCUGCUGUUGACUACUACUGUAGUGCCAUCCCGACUGUUUCAGUUACAGCCUUGAAGUUAUGACUAGUGUCUAUGGGGACCUUUGGUCGUUCAGACGACAACUACGGCCUUGAAGUUAUGACUAGUGUCUAUGGGGACCUUUGGUCGUUCAGACGACAACUACAGCCUUGAAGUUAUGACUAGUGAUAUAUUUAUACUUUUUGAGGGUCAGAAAAAAAUAC